rnacentral:rRNA from 1 species
AAAAYAUGGGAUAAUUCCUGCCCAGUGACAAAUGUUCAACGGCCGCGGUAUCCUAACCGUGCAAAGGUAGCAUAAUCACUUGCCUAUUAAUUGUAGGCUAGAAUGAAUGGAUAAACGAAAUAAAGACUGUCUCAAUUAGUCACCUAAAAAUUAUUCUCUAUAUGAAGAAAAAUAGAUAUAUUCGAAGGACAAGAAGACCCUAUAGAGCUUUAUUUAAAAUAUGAAAUUAAUUCAUAUAAAAAUUCGGUUGGGGCGACCUAGGGAAUAAUAAUCACCCUAAUACAUACAGAUAAAUAAAUCAAACAAUUGACCCUUGAAAGAUCAUAAAAUCAAGUUACCUUAGGGAUAACAGGCUAAUCCCACUUAAGAGUCCAUAUCAACAGUGGGGUUUGGCACCUCGAUGUUGGCUUAGGGUAUCAAUAUAGCGCAAAAGUUAUAUAAAGAUGGUUUGUUCAACCAAUAAUC